GGAAACCUCACCAGGUCCAGACAUAGUAAGGAUUGACAGAUUGACAGCUCUUUCUUGAUUCUAUGGGUGGUGGUGCAUGGCCGUUCUUAGUUGGUGGAGUGAUCUGUCUGGUUAAUUCCGUUAACGAACGAGACCUUAGCCUGCUAAAUAAGCAGCUGAAAGCUUCGGUUUUCAGUUAGCUUUCUUAGAGGGACUUUGUGUGUUCUCAACACAAGGAAGUUUGAGGCAAUAA
rnacentral:rRNA from 1 species